rnacentral:rRNA from 1 species
UGGGGAAUAUUGGACAAUGGGCGAAAGCCUGAUCCAGCCAUGCCGCGUGUGUGAAGAAGGUCUUCGGAUUGUAAAGCACUUUAAGUUGGGAGGAAGGGCAGUUACCUAAUACGUAUCUGCUUUGACGUUACCGACAGAAUAAGCACCGGCUAACUCUGUGCCAGCAGCCGCGGUAAUACAGAGGGUGCAAGCGUUAAUCGGAAUUACUGGGCGUAAAGCGCGCGUAGGUGGUUUGUUAAGUUGGAUGUGAAAUCCCCGGGCUCAACCUGGGAACUGCAUCCAAAACUGGCAAGCUAGAGUAUGGCAGAGGUGGUGGAAUUUCCUGUGUAGCGGUGAAAUGCGUAGAUAUAGGAAGGAACACCAGUGGCGAAGGCGACCACCUGGACUGAUACUGACACUGAGGUGCGAAAGCGUGGGGAGCAAACAGGAUUAGAUACCCCAGUAGUCCCUGAGCGGGCUGGCAAGGCGCAU